AGCUCCAAUAGCGUAUAUUAAAGUUGUUGCAGUUAAAAGCUCGUAGUUGGAUUUCUGGUGGGCGCAUCCGGUCCGCUCCGCAAGGAGUGUGCACUGGCGAUGUCGCCGGCCACUUUUACGGCGAACGAUUCUGGCAUUAAGUUGUCGGGGUCGGGAGCCGUAUCAUUUACUGUGAAAAAUUAGAGUGUUUAAAGCAGGCAUUUGCUGUGAAUACAUUAGCAUGGAAUAAUAAGAUAGGACUUUGGUACUAUUUUGUUGGUUUGCAUACCAAGGUAAUGAUUAACAGGGACAGUUGGGGGUAUUCGUAUUUUGAUGUCAGAGGUGAAAUUCUUGGAUUUUCGAAAGACGAACUUCUGCGAAAGCAUUUACCAAGGAUGUUUUCAUUAAUCAAGAACGAGUUAACACG
rnacentral:rRNA from 1 species